AGUUUUUUAUUAUAAUUAGUAUUUUUGAUUUCAAAUCAUAAGGAAAAAAAUUG
rnacentral:tRNA from 1 species